rnacentral:rRNA from 1 species
CAGAGUUGAUCAUGGCUCAGGAUGAACGCUAGCUACAGGCUUAACACAUGCAAGUCGAGGGGCAGCAUGAACUUAGCUUGCUAAGUUUGAUGGCGACCGGCGCACGGGUGAGUAACACGUAUCCAACCUGCCGAUGACUCGGGGAUAGCCUUUCGAAAGAAAGAUUAAUACCCGAUGGCAUAGUUCUUCCGCAUGGUGGAACUAUUAAAGAAUUUCGGUCAUCGAUGGGGAUGCGUUCCAUUAGG